rnacentral:rRNA from 1 species
AGUGAACGCUGGCGGCAGGCCUAACACAUGCAAGUCGAACGGCAGCACAGUAAGAGCUUGCUCUUACGGGUGGCGAGUGGCGGACGGGUGAGGUAUACAUCGGAAUCUACUUUUUCGUGGGGGAUAACGUAGGGAAACUUACGCUAAUACCGCAUACGACCUACGGGUGAAAGCAGGGGCUCUUCGGACCUUGCGCGAUUGAAUGAGCCGAUGUCGGAUUAGCUAGUUGGCGGGGUAAAGGCCCACCAAGGCGACGAUCCGUAGCUGGUCUGAGAGGAUGAUCAGCCACACUGGAACUGAGACACGGUCCAGACUCCUACGGGAGGCAGCAGUGGGGAAUAUUGGACAAUGGGCGAAAGCCUGAUCCAGCCAUACCGCGUGUGUGAAGAAGGCCUUCGGGUUGUAAAGCCCUUUUGUUGGGAAAGAAAAGCAGCAGGUUAAUACCUCGCGGUGCUGACGGUACCCAAAGAAUAAGCACCGGCUAACUUCGUG